AGAGUUUGAUCCUGGCUCAGAGCGAACGCUGGCGGCAGGCCUAACACAUGCAAGUCGAGCGCCGUAGCAAUACGGAGCGGCAGACGGGAGAGUAACACGUGGGAACGUGCCCUUUGGUUCGGAACAACACAGGGAAACUUGUGCUAAUACCGGAUAAGCCCUUACGGGGAAAGAUUUAUCGCCAAAGGAUCGGCCCGCGUCUGAUUAGCUUGUUGGUGAGGUAACGGCUCACCAAGGCGACGAUCAGUAGCUGGUCUGAGAGGAUGAUCAGCCACACUGGGACUGAGACACGGCCCAGACUCCUACGGGAGGCAGCAGUUGGGAAUCUUGGACAAUGGGGGAAACCCUGAUCCAGCCAUGCCGCGUGAGUGAUGAAGGCCUUCGGGUUGUAAA
rnacentral:rRNA from 1 species